UCCAUCCCCCUUUAAUGUGUUUUACAGAUGUGACAAAUAUCGAAGGAAUUUGUUUUUUAAAGCCUGUUUUGAUUGAAAUCACACACAAACCUGCUCAUGCUUGGGGCCUUCCUCUCUCCAUUGGAGUGGUUCCCUGUGGUGGGUAGGAUGGAGAUGUGGUAUUUGAGGGCGCCUGUGCCGUGCUAUGCCAUUCCACGCCGUGCUGUCUUGUGCUGUGCCAAGCUGUGCCAUGCUAUACAAUGCUGGCAGCAGAGAUGGAGGCUUGGUAAUGCAGCCCCACUGCACAUUGGGGAGUGAUGGCCCAGUGUAGGUCCAAUGAAGGGGCUGGAAAGACCCCGGUGUGUGUCCCAGCAGUGACUGUGGGUACAGCACCCUCUGCACCCAGGUCCCAGCAAAACUGGGUGCCAGCAGCCCACACAGGGCCAUCACUGAAGGAAAUAGCAUCCUCCAUCCUUCCCUCGUGUGCUGCAAUGUUCAGACCAAGCGUUCUUCACCAUGAUGAGGAUGUGCCCCCAUGUCAGGAUGUGGCAACAUCCUCAUGGCCAUCCAAAUGACAUCGGUGCCAUUCAAGCAAUGCUGGUGCUGAAGUGUGACCCAGUGGGGACCUGGUGGUGUUGUCCCCUGUCCCUUCUGUGACGCCAAGGGGCCGCGGGGGCCCUGCUCACAACACAUGGUCUGACUGUGGCUGCAGAGGAGCAGGAGCCCCUCUCGGUGGGAACGCGGAGGCGUUUGCAGGUCAUUUCAGCAUGUUGUCCCAGUCAAAUAUUUGUCUAGUUAAUAAAUAUAUUGUUGUUUU
rnacentral:lncRNA from 7 species